GCUCCCAUCGUCUAGUCAGGCCCAGGACGCCAGGUUUUCAUCCUGGUAACAGGGGUUCGAAUCCCCUUGGGAGUACCA
rnacentral:tRNA from 2 species